CAAAACGGAGGAAGGUGGGGAUGAACGUCAAAUCAUCAUGCCCCUUAUGUUCUGGGCUACACACGUGCUACAAUGGCCGGUACAGACGGACGCAAAGCCGCGAGGUGGAGCAAAUCCUAAAAAGCCGGUCUCAGUUCGGAUUGCAGGCUGCAAUUCGCCUGCAUGAAGUCGGAAUCGCUAGUAAUCGCAGGUCAGCAUACUGCGGUGAAUACGUUCCCGGGCCUU
rnacentral:rRNA from 1 species